rnacentral:rRNA from 1 species
AGUUUGAUCAUGGCUCAGAACGAACGCUGGCGGCGUGCCUAACACAUGCAAGUCGAACGGAUUUGAGGGGCUUGCUCCUCAAGUUAGUGGCGCACGGGUGAGUAACGCGUAGAUAAUCUGCCUGAUGAUCCGGGAUAACACUUCGAAAGGGGUGCUAAUACCGGAUAAGCCCACGGGGUCUUUGGAUUCUGCGGGAAAAGGGGGGGACCUUCGGGCCUUCUGUCAUCAGAUGAGUCUGCGUACCAUUAGCUAGUUGGUAGGGUAAUGGCCUACCAAGGCUACGAUGGUUAGCUGGUUUGAGAGAAUGAUCASCCACACUGGAACUGAGACACGGUCCAGACUCCUACGGGAGGCAGCAGUGGGGAAUUUUGCGCAAUGGGCGAAAGCCUGACGCAGCAACGCCGCGUGAGUGAUGAAGGCUUUCGGGUCGUAAAGCUCUGUCGAGGGGAAAGAAGUGUAUUGUGGCUAAUAUCCGCGAUACUUGACGGUACCCCUAAAGGAAGCACCGGCUAACUCCGUGCCAGCAGCCGCGGUAAUAC